UACGAAGGUCCCAAGCGUUAUCCGGAUUUAUUGGGUUUAAAGGGUGCGUAGGCGGCCCGUUAAGUCAGUGGUGAAAGCCUCCAGCUCAACUGGAGAACUGCCAUUGAUACUGACGGGCUUGAGUACAGACGAGGUUGGCGGAAUUGAUUGUGUAGCGGUGAAAUGCAUAGAUACAAUCAAGAACUCCGAUUGCGUAGGCAGCUAACUAGGCAGUAACUGACGCUGAGGCACGAAAGCGUGGGGAGCGAACAGG
rnacentral:rRNA from 1 species